UGUCGUCAGCUCGUGUUGUGAAAUGUUGGGUUAAGUCCCGCAACGAGCGCAACCCUUAUCCUUUGUUGCCAGCGGUCCGGCCGGGAACUCAAAGGAGACUGCCAGUGAUAAACUGGAGGAAGGUGGGGAUGACGUCAAGUCAUCAUGGCCCUUACGACCAGGGCUACACACGUGCUACAAUGGCGCAUACAAAGAGAAGCGACCUCGCGAGAGCAAGCGGACCUCAUAAAGUGCGUCGUAGUCCGGAUUGGAGUCUGCAACUCGACUCCAUGAAGUCGGAAUCGCUAGUAAUCGUGGAUCAGAAUGCCACGGUGAAUACGUUCCCGGGCCUUGUACACACCGCCCGUCACACCAUGGGAGUGGGUUGCAAAAGAAGUAGGUAGCUUAACCUUCGGGAGGGCGCUUACCACUUUGUGAUUCAUGACUGGGGUGAAGUCGUAACAAGGUAACCGUAGGGGAACCU
rnacentral:rRNA from 2 species